AGAGUUUGAUCCUGGCUCAGGACGAACGCUAGCGGCGUGCCUAAGGUAUGCAAGUCGAACGGGGGGAGCAAUCCUCCAGUGGCGAACGGUCGAGUAACACGUAGACAACCUGCCUCCCGGUGGGGGAUAACAGUCCGAAAGGGCUGCUAAUACCGCAUGCGGCACAGAGCGGCAUCGCUCCAGUGCUAAAGGUUGACUGCCGGGAGAUGGGUCUGCGGCCUAUCAGGUAGUUGGUGGGGUAACGGCCUACCAAGCCGACGACGGGUAGCGGGUCUGAGAGGAUGAUCCGCCGGACGGGGACUGAGACACGGCCCCGACUCCUUCGGGAGGCAGCAAUGAGGAAUAUUGCGCAAUGGGGGAAACCCUGACGCAGCGACGCCGCGUGGGUGAGGAAGUCCUUCGGGAUGUAAAGCCCUUUUCUCGGGGACGAAACGGACGGUACCCGAGGAAGAAGCCCCGGCUAACUACGUGCCAGCAGCCGCGGUA
rnacentral:rRNA from 1 species